UACAGAGGAGCCAAGCGUUGUCCGGAUUGACUGGGCGUAAAGCGCACGCAGGCGGGGGGGCGCGUGGGGUGUGAAAUCUGGCCGCUUAACGGCCAGGCGCCAUCCCAUACGGCACGCCUGGAGCCUUGCAGAGGUCGGUGGAAGUGCCGGUGUAGUGGUGAAAUGCGCAGAUAUCGGGAGGAACACCGGUGGCGAAGGCGGUUCUCUGGGCCUGUGCUGACGCUGAGGAGCGAAAGCGUGGGGAGCAAACAGG
rnacentral:rRNA from 1 species